GUGCCCUCGCCGGCUUUAAGUGAUUAAAUCUCGGUACGCGCGGAUCUUCCUCAAUUUAUUUGUUUGAUCCUGGUUCAGGAGAAGAAGGGGGGGUGCUUUCACAUGCAAGUCGAACGGAGCGAAUGUACCCUUGCUUUUAUGAGCUUAGUGGCAAACGGGUGAGUAACACGUAGACAACCUGCCGACCGGAUGGGGACAACUUUCCGGGAGGAAUGCUAAUACCGAAUGAAGCGGAGGAGAGGCAUCUCUCCUCCGUGAAAGAUGGCCUCUAUUUAUAAGCUAUCACCUGUUGAUGGGUCUGCGUCUGAUUAGCUGGUUGGUGAGGUAACGGCUCACCAAGGCGACGAUCAGUAGCCGGUCUGAGAGGAUGAACGGCCACCUUGGGACUGAGACACGGCCCAGACUCCUACGGGAGGCAGCAGUGGGGAAUCUUCCGCAAUGGGCGCAAGCCUGACGGAGCAACGCCGCGUGAGUGAAGAAGGUCUUCGGAUCGUAAAGCUCUGUUGAUGGGGACGAACGUGCCUAAUGCGAAUAGUUUUAGGUAAUGACGGUACCCUUCGAGGAAGCCACGGCUAACUACGUGCCAGCAGCCGCGGUAAUACGUAGGUGGCGAGCGUUGUCCGGAAUCAUUGGGCGUAAAGGGAGCGCAGGCGGGCAUGUAAGUCUUUCUUAAAAGUGCGGCGCUCACCCCGUGAUGGGAAAGAAACCAUAUGUCUUGAGUACAGGAGAGGAAAGCGGAAUUCCCAGUGUAGCGUGAAAUGCGUAGAUAUUGGGAGGACACCAGUGGCGAAGGCGGUUUUCUGUACUGCACUGACGCUGAGGCUCGAACGCCAGGGGAGCGA
rnacentral:rRNA from 1 species